rnacentral:tRNA from 1 species
GAGGGUAUAGCUCAGUGGUGAAGCUAAAUGCUCAGCAUGCACGAAGUCCUGGGUUCAAUCCCCAGUACCUCCA